AGAGUUUGAUCAUGGCUCAGAAUCAACGCUGGCGGCGUGCCUAACACAUGCAAGUCGAACGAGAAAGGGUAGCAAUACCUGAGUAAAGUGGCGCACGGGUGAGUAACACGUGACUAACCUACCCUGGAGUGGGGGAUAACUGGGGGAAAUCCUAGCUAAUACCGCAUAACACCUACGGGUCAAAGGAGCAAUUCGCUUCAGGAGGGGGUCGCGGUCGAUUAGUUAGUUGGCGGAGUAAUGGCCCACCAAGACUGUGAUCGAUAUCCGGCCUGAGAGGGCGCACGGACACACUGGAACUGAAACACGGUCCAGACUCCUACGGGAGGCAGCAGUGGGGAAUUUUGCGCAAUGGGGGAAACCCUGACGCAGCAACGCCGCGUGGAGGAUGAAGUCCUUCGGGACGUAAACUCCUUUCGAUCGGGACGAUUAUGACGGUACCGGAAGAAGAAGCCCCGGCUAACUUCGUGCCAGCAGCCGCGGUAAUACGAGGGGGGCGAGCGUUGUUCGGAAUUAUUGGGCGUAAAGGGUGCGUAGGCGGUUUGGUAAGUCUUGUGUGAAAUCUACAGGCUCAACUUGUAGUCUGCACGAGAAACUGCCGGGCUUGAGUAUGGGAGAGGUGAGUGGAAUUCCUGGUGUAGCGGUGAAAUGCGUAGAUAUCAGGAGGAACACCUGUGGCGAAAGCGGCUCACUGGACCAUAACUGACGCUGAUGCACGAAAGCUAGGGGAGCAAACAGGAUUAGAUACCCCCGUAGUCC
rnacentral:rRNA from 1 species